rnacentral:rRNA from 1 species
CCUACGGGAGGCAGCAGUGGGGGAUAUUGCACAAUGGGGGGAACCCUGAUGCAGCGACGCCGCGUGGGUGAAGGAGCGUUUCGGCGCGUAAAGCCCUAUCGGCAGGGAAGAAGGAGGACGGUACCUGACUAAGAAGCCCCGGCUAACUACGUGCCAGCAGCCGCGGUAAUACGUAGUUGGCAAGCGUUAUCCGGAUUUAUUGGGUGUAAAGGGCGUGUAGGCGGGAAAGCAAGUCAGAUGUGAAAACUCAGGGCUCAACCCUGAGCCUGCAUUUGAAACUGUUUUUCUUGAGUGCUGGAGAGGCAAUCGGAAUUCCGUGUGUAGCGGUGAAAUGCAUAGAUAUCACGCAGAACUCCGAUUGCGAAGGCAGCUUACUAAGCCAUAACUGACACUGAAGCACGAAAGCGUGGGGAUCAAACAGGAUUAGAUACCCGAGUAGUC